rnacentral:rRNA from 1 species
AGAUUGAACGCUGGCGGCAGGCCUAACACAUGCAAGUCGAGCGGUAGAGAGGUGCUUGCACCUCUUGAGAGCGGCGGACGGGUGAGUAAUGCCUAGGAAUCUGCCUAGUGGUGGGGGAUAACGUUCGGAAACGGACGCUAAUACCGCAUACGUCCUACGGGAGAAAGCGGGGGACCUUCGGGCCUCGCGCCAUUAGAUGAGCCUAGGUCGGAUUAGCUAGUUGGUGAGGUAAUGGCUCACCAAGGCGACGAUCCGUAACUGGUCUGAGAGGAUGAUCAGUCACACUGGAACUGAGACACGGUCCAGACUCCGUACGGGAGGCAGCGAGGUGGGGGAAUAGUUGGGAACAAGUGGGACGAAAGCC